UUAAGCGACUAAGCGUACACGGUGGAUGCCCUGGCAGUCAGAGGCGAUGAAGGACGUGCUAAUCUGCGAAAAGCGUCGGUAAGGUGAUAUGAACCGUUAUAACCGGCGAUGUCCGAAUGGGGAAACCCAGUGUGAUUCGUCACACUAUCGUUAACUGAAUACAUAGGUUAACGAGGCGAACCGGGGGAACUGAAACAUCUAAGUACCCCGAGGAAAAGAAAUCAACCGAGAUUCCCCCAGUAGCGGCGAGCGAACGGGGAGCAGCCCAGAGUCUGAAUCAGCUUGUGUGUUAGUGGAACGGUCUGGAAAGUCCGACGGUACAGGGUGAUAGUCCCGUACACCAAAAUGCACAGGUUGUGAACUCGAAGAGUAGGGCGGGACACGUGGUAUCCUGUCUGAAUAUGGGGGGACCAUCCUCCAAGGCUAAAUACUCCUGACUGACCGAUAGUGAACCAGUACCGUGAGGGAAAGGCGAAAAGAACCCCGGCGAGGGGAGUGAAAAAGAACCUGAAACCGUGUACGUACAAGCAGUGGGAGCACCUUCGGGUGUGACUGCGUACCUUUUGUAUAAUGGGUCAGCGACUUAUAUUCUGUAGCAAGGUUAACCGUAUAGGGGAGCCGCAGGGAAACCGAGUCUUAACUGGGCGUUAAGUUGCAGGGUAUAGACCCGAAACCCGGUGAUCUAGCCAUGGGCAGGUUGAAGGUUGGGUAACACUAACUGGAGGACCGAACCGACUAAUGUUGAAAAAUUAGCGGAUGACUUGUGGCUGGGGGUGAAAGGCCAAUCAAACCGGGAGAUAGCUGGUUCUCCCCGAAAGCUAUUUAGGUAGCGCCUCGUGAAUUCAUCUUCGGGGGUAGAGCACUGUUUCGGCUAGGGGGUCAUCCCGACUUACCAACCCGAUGCAAACUACGAAUACCGAAGAAUGUUAUCACGGGAGACACACGGCGGGUGCUAACGUCCGUCGUGAAGAGGGAAACAACCCAGACCGCCAGCUAAGGUCCCAAAGUCAUGGUUAAGUGGGAAACGAUGUGGGAAGGCACAGACAGCCAGGAUGUUGGCUUAGAAGCAGCCAUCAUUUAAAGAAAGCGUAAUAGCUCACUGGUCGAGUCGGCCUGCGCGGAAGAUGUAACGGGGCUAAACCAUGCACCGAAGCUGCGGCAGCGACACUAUGUGUUGUUGGGUAGGGGAGCGUUCUGUAAGCCUGCGAAGGUGACCUGUGAGGGUUGCUGGAGGUAUCAGAAGUGCGAAUGCUGACAUAAGUAACGAUAAAGCGGGUGAAAAGCCCGCUCGCCGGAAGACCAAGGGUUCCUGUCCAACGUUAAUCGGGGCAGGGUGAGUCGACCCCUAAGGCGAGGCCGAAAGGCGUAGUCGAUGGGAAACAGGUUAAUAUUCCUGUACUUGGUGUUACUGCGAAGGGGGGACGGAGAAGGCUAUGUUAGCCGGGCGACGGUUGUCCCGGUUUAAGCAUGUAGGCUGGUUGUCCAGGCAAAUCCGGAUAAUCAAGGCUGAGGUGUGAUGACGAGGCACUACGGUGCUGAAGUAACAAACGCCCUGCUUCCAGGAAAAGCCUCUAAGCAUCAGGUAACAUUAAAUCGUACCCCAAACCGACACAGGUGGUCAGGUAGAGAAUACCAAGGCGCUUGAGAGAACUCGGGUGAAGGAACUAGGCAAAAUGGUGCCGUAACUUCGGGAGAAGGCACGCUGGUGUGUAGGUGAAGCCCCUGCGGGUGGAGCUGGGACCAGUCGAAGAUACCAGCUGGCUGCAACUGUUUAUUAAAAACACAGCACUGUGCAAACACGAAAGUGGACGUAUACGGUGUGACGCCUGCCCGGUGCCGGAAGGUUAAUUGAUGGGGUUAUCCGUAAGGAGAAGCUCUUGAUCGAAGCCCCGGUAAACGGCGGCCGUAACUAUAACGGUCCUAAGGUAGCGAAAUUCCUUGUCGGGUAAGUUCCGACCUGCACGAAUGGCGUAAUGAUGGCCAGGCUGUCUCCACCCGAGACUCAGUGAAAUUGAACUCGCUGUGAAGAUGCAGUGUACCCGCGGCAAGACGGAAAGACCCCGUGAACCUUUACUAUAGCUUGACACUGAACAUUGAGCCUUGAUGUGUAGGAUAGGUGGGAGGCUUUGAAGCGUGGACGCCAGUCUGCGUGGAGCCAACCUUGAAAUACCACCCUUUAAUGUUUGAUGUUCUAACGUUGGCCCCUGACCGGGGUUGCGGACAGUGUCUGGUGGGUAGUUUGACUGGGGCGGUCUCCUCCCAAAGCGUAACGGAGGAGCACGAAGGUUAGCUAAUCCUGGUCGGACAUCAGGAGGUUAGUGCAAUGGCAUAAGCUAGCUUGACUGCGAGCGUGACGGCGCGAGCAGGUGCGAAAGCAGGUCAUAGUGAUCCGGUGGUUCUGAAUGGAAGGGCCAUCGCUCAACGGAUAAAAGGUACUCCGGGGAUAACAGGCUGAUACCGCCCAAGAGUUCAUAUCGACGGCGGUGUUUGGCACCUCGAUGUCGGCUCAUCACAUCCUGGGGCUGAAGUAGGUCCCAAGGGUAUGGCUGUUCGCCAUUUAAAGUGGUACGCGAGCUGGGUUUAGAACGUCGUGAGACAGUUCGGUCCCUAUCUGCCGUGGGCGCUGGAGAAUUGAGGGGGGCUGCUCCUAGUACGAGAGGACCGGAGUGGACGCAUCACUGGUGUUCGGGUUGUCAUGCCAAUGGCACUGCCCGGUAGCUAAAUGCGGAAGAGAUAAGUGCUGAAAGCAUCUAAGCACGAAACUUGCCCCGAGAUGAGUUCUCCCUGAGACUUUAAGUCUCCUGAAGGAACGUUAAAGACGAUGACGUUGAUAGGCCGGGUGUGUAAGCGCAGCGAUGCGUUGAGCUAACCGGUACUAAUGAACCGUGAGGCUUAACCUU
rnacentral:rRNA from 1 species